GUGGAUUAGAUACCCCGGUAGUCCACGCCCUAAACGAUGCGAACUGGAUGUUGGUCUCAACUCGGAGAUCAGUGUCGAAGCUAACGCGUUAAGUUCGCCGCCUGGGGAGUACGGUCGCAAGACUGAAACUCAAAGGAAUUGACGGGGGCCCGCACAAGCGGUGGAGUAUGUGGUUUAAUUCGAUGCAACGCGAAGAACCUUACCUGGCCUUGACAUGUCCGGAAUCCAGCAGAGAUGCAGGAGUGCCUUCGGGAAUCGGAACACAGGUGCUGCACGGCCGUCACCAACU
rnacentral:rRNA from 1 species